GACGAACGCUGGCGGCGUGCCUAAUACAUGCAAGUAGAACGCUGAAGGAGGAGCUUGCUUCUCUUGAUGAGUUGCGUACGGGUGAGUAACGCGUAGGUAACCUGCCUGGUAGCGGGGGAUAACUAUUGGAAACGAUAGCUAAUACCGCAUAAGAGUAGAUGUUGCAUGACAUUUGCUUAAAAGUUGCAAUUGCAUCACUACCAUAUGUACCUGCGUUGUAUUAGCUAGUUGGUGGGUUAACGGCUCACCAAGGCGACGAUACAUAGCCGACCUGAGAAGGGGAGCGGACACACUGGGACUGAGACACGGCCCAGACACCUACGGGAGGCAGCAGUAGGGAAUCUUAGGCAAUAGACGGAAGUCUGACCGAGCAACGCCGAGUGAGUGAAGAAGGUUUUAGGAUAGUAAAGCGCUGUUGUAAGAGAAGAACGAGAGUGAGAGUGGAAAGGUAACACUGAGAAGGUAUCGUACCAGAAAGAGACGGAUAACUACGUG
rnacentral:rRNA from 1 species